AUUGAACGCUGGCGGCAUGCCUUACACAUGCAAGUCGAACGGCAGCACGGACUUCGGUCUGGUGGCGAGUGGCGAACGGGUGAGUAAUGUAUCGGAACGUACCCUUCAGUGGGGGAUAACUAUCCGAGAGGAUAGCUAAUACCGCAUAUUCUCUGAGGAGGAAAGCGGGGGAUCGCAAGACCUCUCGCUAUUGGAGCGGCCGAUGUCAGAUUAGGUAGUUGGUGGGGUAAAGGCCUACCAAGCCGACAAUCUGUAGCUGGUCUGAGAGGACGACCAGCCACACUGGGACUGAGACACGGCCCAGACUCCUACGGGAGGCAGCAGUGGGGAAUUUUGGACAAUGGGCGCAAGCCUGAUCCAGCCAUGCCGCGUGCGGGAAGAAGGCCUUCGGGUUGUAAACCGCUUUUGUCAGGGAAGAAAUCUUCUGAGUUAAUACCUCGGGAGGAUGACGGUACCUGAAGAAUAAGCACCGGCUAACUACGUGCCAGCCGCCGCGGUAACAC
rnacentral:rRNA from 1 species